rnacentral:rRNA from 1 species
UACAGAGGGGGCAAGCGUUGUUCGGAAUUACUGGGCGUAAAGGGCUCGUAGGCGGCCAACUAAGUCAGACGUGAAAUCCCUCAGCUUAACUGGGGAACUGCGUCUGAUACUGGAUGGCUUGGAUCCGGGAGAGGGAUGCGGAAUUCCAGGUGUAGCGGUGAAAUGCGUAGAUAUUCGGAAGAACACCAGUGGCGAAGGCGGCUCACUGGACUGGUAUUGACGCUGAGGUGGCGAAAGCGUGGGGAG